CAAAUAAAGAUUAUAUCAUCCGCCAAGUCAGGCGGGUUAGAUUCAUAAAGCAUUGUUCCGAAGAAUCAUUCUGGAAAGUAAACACCAUGGAAAUUUCUUGAACACAAGACAACGAAAGCCCUACCUCUCAAUCGUCACUGCGGCUCCGAAGCCGCGCCGGUGUGAAUUGUAAAACAAAAAAGUCUUUUUUCCAUCUCAUCGUUAGGGGCGAUUUGUUAUGAAGGAAAAGAAUAAGGGCAGCUGGUUAUGCUGCUUGGGAAGCGGUAAGC
rnacentral:ncRNA from 2 species